rnacentral:rRNA from 1 species
ACGAACGCUGGCGGCGUGCCUCAUACAUGCCAGUCGAACGCGAGCGACCGGUGCUUGCACUGGUCAAUCUAGUGGCGAACGGGUGAGUAACACGUGGGUAACCUGCCCAUCAGAGGGGGAUAACAUCCGGAAACGGAUGCUAAAACCGCAUAGGUCUUCGAACCGCAUGGUUUGAAGAGGAAAAGAGGCGCAAGCUUCUGCUGAUGGAUGGACCCGCGGUGCAUUAGCUAGUUGGUGAGGUAACGGCUCACCAAGGCCGUGAUGCAUAGCCGACCUGAGAGGGUGAUCGGCCACAUUGGGACUGAGACACGGCCCAAACUCCUACGGGAGGCAGCAGUAGGGAAUCUUCCGCAAUGGACGCAAGUCUGACGGAGCAACGCCGCGUGAGUGAAGAAGGUUUUCGGAUCGUAAAACUCUGUUGUUAGAGAAGAACAAGUGCUAGAGUAACUGUUAGCGCCUUGACGGUAUCUAACCAGAAAGCCACGGCUAACUACGUG